AUGGCGGCGGCGGCUGCUCCGUUGCUGGAGAAGGGGAGGAGGGUGUGCAAGGAGGGGUGCCCCGGGUGCAGCCUGGACCAGAUCAACAAGGCCAACACCGGCGUCCCCUACCUCAACUUCUUCUACGUCUGGGUCGUCUGCCUCUGCGCCGGCUGGGUCAUGAAAAUCCUUAUUGACAGAUUAUACUGA
rnacentral:rRNA from 1 species